rnacentral:rRNA from 1 species
CAGUCGCCGCGGUAACACAGAGGGUGCGAGCGUUAAUCGGAUUUACUGGGCGUAAAGCGUGCGUAGGCGGCUAAUUGAGUCGGAUGUGAAAUCCCCGAGCUUAACUUAGGAAUUGCAUUCGAUACUGGGAAGCUAGAGUAUGGGAGAGGAUGGUAGAAUUCCAGGUGUAGCGGUGAAAUGCGUAGAGAUCUGGAGGAAUACCGAUGGCGAAGGCAGCCAUCUGGCCUAAUACUGACGCUGAGGUACGAAAGCAUGGGGAGCAAACAGGAUUAGAUACCCGCGUAGUCCCUGUCUCUUAUAC